ensembl:lncRNA
GGAAGCUUGGCCCCUGGUGCUGAGAUACCAGGGGAUGGGACCUGUGAGCUCUGAUGGGCAGUGUCGGUCAUGGCGACGCUGCUCGGGGAGGGCCUGGGGAAUCCUAACCAGCAUGGGCUGCACGCGAGCAAGCCUGACCCAGUGUCUGGCUUCCUGUCCGGUGACACAAUGUCUUUCUACGGCCUCACUGCAGGCUGAGCUAGUGCAGGCAUCAUGACCCUGCCCCUCAGCAACUGUGGGCUAAACAAACCUCUUUUCUUUAUAAAGCUCUUCAGCCUUGGGUAUUUUGUUAUAGCAACAAAAAACGGAAUUUUAAAAAUAUCUGCUUAAUAUUCCGUAAUUGCAGGGUUGGAAAAACCAGAAGGUGCAAAUCGCCCCCGGAGAGCUUGUGUUAUGGUAAGGGGAGGUGUGUCCCACUGAAAUACACAGGAGAGGGCUGCCCACAAGUCGCUCAGUUUUAACUUAACUCUGUGUUAGCUUCUACCUUGUUCAUCUGUAGAGAAAGUAUUUUUGUUUUUUUAAUCCUGAUGUUUACUGUACAUUAGGAAGGCUUAGCCAGGGUGACUCCAGAAACAGGUGAGCACUGGGCCAGAGGGAGCUGUCGGGCGGCUGGGCAAGGCUGGUGAUUUUGAUUUUGAAAUGACCGAGCUGCAGGUAACCCAUUAACUCCUGCCUAGCUGUUAUUCCUUGGCCAUCACCAGCAUACUGAGGAGUCCUUGCAGUGUGAGGAAAAUCUCACUCACAAAUGAGUCUCAGACGUCGUGAGAUUUUUAAAUGAACAUUCAAUUUAGCAAUUAAUGAAGAAUGAAUAUAUAAAUUAAUCAUGGAGAAAGUCUGACUUUGCUCCUUCUGUAAUUUGCAGCCAAUAAUUUCUUUCUAGUCAAACAUUGCCAGGGCCAGGGAUGUAGCUCAGUGGUUCUGGCACCUGCCUCACAAGUCCAAGGUCCUGAGUUCAAUCCCUGGUACCAAAAACAACAAAAAAAACAUUUCCAAAGGUCCUUGAAACGCUUGCCCUGUCUGCCUGAGGCUGUUUGUCUUAGUGUGGGGAGAUGGGGUGAAUUCCGAAGGAAAGCCCCUCCUCCAUGCUUCUCUGCCUCUGGAGUCGACCCCUGACUGUCGUGUGGUUCAGUGGAGGGCAGCUUGGCUGGCCGAGGUCUGCUCUGGGGACAGGUGGCACGCACUGCUGGGAGUGUUGGCUGGGCCUUGGGGUCGCUGCUCCCUCACCCCCUCCUCUCUGCUGUUGUCUGCUCUGCUCUCCGGCCGCCAUGGGCUAAGCAGCCUUGCUCCACCACACCCUUGGUGCUCCUGCCUUGAAGUCCGCCAGCCACAGACGGCCCGGGCUGUGGGGGUCGGGUGCUGUGUCCAGCACAGGAAAGCUGAAGUGGGUCCUCCUCAGACCAUCCCAAGGUGGGCAGGAGAAUGAACCCCCUUUCUAGGGGAUGCUGAGGGCACACAUUUCCUCCUGCCCAGGGUCCAGGCCCACCACCCACUUGGCCUGUCCCUCUCUGCUCUUUCCACUCCACCUGCGUUUCCAGCAUCUGGCACAUUUCCCCUGCCACUGGCUUUCCGUGAGGUCAGAAGACCCGGCAGGUGACAGACUGAGUGGGUGCUGACGAGCUGGUGUGCAGCCCUUCCGGGGUGUUGAGGGACGUCCCAGAGGCCACGUGGACACCGGUGUGACCCACAGCGGGGCAGGCAUCCCCCUUUCCCAUGCUGGGUCGGAGCCAGGCAACCCAAAGGGAGAAUGUACCCUUCUGGGCCACGUCCCACUUAGCUGCCACCCCACUGCACCCCACCGACCCUGCGCUCAGCUCUGACACAGAGGCGUGGACACGCGGCAAAGGCCUUCCCAUGGGGCCUGGGGGGCUGCAGGGACAUGAGGUGGGGACACCAUCUCGGCUCAGAUGGACGCGUGUUUUCCUAGCUGGAUCCUGUGCAGAGGGAGUGUGGCAGCCGCACUGUCACGGGAAGCAGCUUCCAUCACUACCAGUGUUUUCUGGUUCAUGGGAAGAUAAAGAGCUCGAUGUCAUAAGACCCGGAUUUAGAAGUGGUGCCUGCACUCUGGGAGGCUGAGGCAGGAGGAUUACAAGUUCAAGCCCAACCUGUGUAACUUAGUGUCUUAACAAGACCCUGUCUCAAAAUAAAAAAAUAAAAAAGACUGGGAAUGUAUCUCAGUGAGGAGGCCCAGGGUUUAAUUUCUACUACUGAAAAAAAAAGGGGGUCGGGGAUUUAGCUCAGUGGUUCCGCUGCCCAAGGAUGCAAGGAUCCGAGUUCAAUCCCUGGUACCAAAAAAAAAAAAGUGGUCCCUAGGGCCUCCACUCAGUCCAGCAGGAGGCAGUGUGGACUGCGCUUAGCCAUGUGACCAUGCUGUGCCCCAGAGCAGGAUGGGAAAUGGAGUCUGCCCUGGGGCAGCCAUGUGCACAGCUUUGGCUUAUACCCUGGAGUAAGUGAGCGACACUGGGGGACACUGUUCCAGCCCCACCAGGCUCCUCCCUGCAGCAGGGAACUCUACUCCCUGCAGAGCCCAGGCCCUGACAGUCAGGUGGAGCCUUGGGCCAGGUGGGAAAUUCCUGCCUCAGCGUCCUGCUUUGUGUUUCAUAAUCGAGAUCCAGAGAGUUUGCAGAAAAAGUUCUCUUAAUGCUGAAAAGCAAGAAGGUGGUAGAUGUGACUAACAAAACAGUCCCAGCGCAUCUGCCAGGGAACACAGAUUUUUUUCUCCUCCAACAUAACAAAUCAGGGCCCAUCUGGGCUUUGAGAGGCCUGAGCUGCAGCUUCCUGGAUCCGUUGGCAUAUGGAACAGCAAUGAAAAGUUAAGGAAAUGACACGUCAGUCUGAAGGGGCUGCUCCGUGUGUCCGCCAGAAAGAGCCCUUGGGGAUUUUCACAUCGUUCAUACCAGGGAACAAGGACAACGAAGUUGAAGGAUUUAGGGAGACCAAGGAUUAGAACAAUGGCCCCCCAAAUCAUGUAACCCAUUGGUGACAGGUGGGAUCUCCCAAAGGGCCCUGUGUUGAAGGUUGGUGCUCUUGGGAGGUGAUGGACCAGGGAGGGCCCGGCAGGAGGUCUUUGGUCACUGGGGCAUGCCCUUGUGGGACCAUAGCCCCUCCUCACUCUCAUUGGCUCCUGGCCAUGCAGCGAGCAGAUGUGCUCUGCCACACAUCCUUCCACAAUGUGCUGUCCCCCACCAGAGGCCUAAAAGCAAAAGGUCUGCCUGAUCAUGCACUGGAACCCUUAAAACCAUGAACCAAAAUAAACCUUUUUUGUUCAUAGGUUAACCCUCUUGGGCAUUUU